rnacentral:rRNA from 1 species
CAUGCAGUCGUACGAGAGUUUUUAACUCAAGUGGCGGACGGGUGAGUAACACGUAAGAAUUUACCUUUAGGAGGGGGACAACAACGGGAAACUGUUGCUAAUACCCCAUAUGCUUUCGAGUGAAAUGGAUUUAUCCGCCUAGAGAGAGGCUUGCGGCUGAUUAGCUUGUUGGUGAGGUAAUGGCUCACCAAGGCGACGAUCAGUAUCUGGUUUGAGAGGACGAUCAGACACACUGGAACUGAGACACGGUCCAGACUCCUACGGGAGGCAGCAGUGGGGAAUUUUCCGCAAUGGGCGAAAGCCUGACGGAGCAAUACCGCGUGAGGGAUGACGGCCUAUGGGUUGUAAACCUCUUUUUUCAGGGAGGAAUCAAUGACGUGUACCUGAAGAAUAAGCAUCGGCUAACUCCGUGCCAGCAGCCGCGGUAAGACGGAGGAUGCAAGUGUUAUCCGGAAUCACUGGGCGUAAAGCGUCUGUAGGUGGUCAAAUAAGUCAACUGUUAAAUCUUGAGGCUCAACCUCAAAACCGCAGUCGAAACUAUUAGACUAGAGUAUAGUAGGGGUAAAGGGAAUUUCCAGUGGAGCGGUGAAAUGCGUAGAGAUUGGAAGGAACACCGAUGGCGAAGGCACUUUACUGGGCUAUUACUAACACUCAGAGACGAAAGCUAGGGUAGCAAAUGGGAUUAGAUACCCCAGUAGUCCUAGCUGUAAACAAUGGAUACUAGAUGUUGAACA